GAAAAAAAUACAUGGCCGCAUAUAUAUAUUUCAAGUUUUGCUUGGUCAGCAGGGUCCUAAUAAUCUCGAAAAUAACUUGAAGGUGACCAAUAGAUUCAAAAAUGAUAAACCUCAGCAAGAUAUUAUACAAGAAAGUUGUGCAGCGAAAUCCUCAUAUGCAUCACAAGUACUUGAGGAGCCUAAUCUUUUAUCUCCUAAUAAAAAAAUAGAUCGAAGCC
rnacentral:lncRNA from 1 species